GGUUAGUGGCGGACUGGUGAGUAACACGUAAGCAACCUACCUGUUAGAGGGGAAUAACAGUGAGAAAUCACUGCUAAAACCGCAUAUGCCGUGAACAUCGCAUGAUGAAAACGGGAAAAGAGCAAUCUGCUAAUAGAUGGGCUUGCGUCUGAUUAGCUAGUUGGUGUGGUAAAGGCAUACCAAGGCGACGAUCAGUAGCCGGACUGAGAGGUUGAACGGCCACAUUGGGACUGAGAUACGGCCCAGACUCCUACGGGAGGCAGCAGUCGGGAAUAUUGCGCAAUGGAGGAAACUCUGACGCAGUGACGCCGCGUAUGGGAAGAAGGUUUUCGGAUUGUAAACCAUUUUAGACAAGGAAGAAACAAGACAGUACUUGUAGAAUAAGCUCCGGCUAACUACGUGCCAGCAGCCGCGGUAAUACGUAGGGAGCAAGCGUUAUCCGGAUUUAUUGGGUGUAAAGGGUGCGUAGACGGGAAGGUAAGUUAGUUGUGAAAUCCCUCGGCUCAACUGAGGAACUGCGACUAAAACUGCUUUUCUUGAGUGCUGGAGAGGAAAGUGGAAUUCCUAGUGUAGCGGUGAAAUGCGUAGAUAUUAGGAG
rnacentral:rRNA from 1 species